GCCUGGGUGGCUCAGUCAGUUAAGCAUCUGACUUUGACUCAGGUCAUGAUCUCAGGGUUCGUGAGUUCAAGCCUUGCAUCAGGCU
rfam:Felis catus isolate Cinnamon breed Abyssinian chromosome C2, whole genome shotgun sequence.